UCAGGACGAACGCUGGCGGCGUGCCUAACACAUGCAAGUCGAACGGAGUUCAUUGGAUCAAGGCUUCGGCCAAGUGAAUUUGAACUUAGUGGCGAACGGGUGAGUAACGCGUGAGCAACCUGCCUUUCAGAGGGGGACAACAGUUGGAAACGACUGCUAAUACCGCAUGAUGUAUUUCGAGGGCAUCCUUGAAAUACCAAAGAUUUUAUCGCUGAAAGAUGGGCUCGCGUCUGAUUAGUUAGUUGGUGGGGUAACGGCCUACCAAGACUACGAUCAGUAGCCGGACUGAGAGGUUGAACGGCCACAUUGGGACUGAGAUACGGCCCAGACUCCUACGGGAGGCAGCAGUGGGGAAUAUUGGGCAAUGGGGGAAACCCUGACCCAGCAACGCCGCGUGAAGGAAGAAGGCCUUCGGGUUGUAAACUUCUUUUAGCAGGGACGAAGAACGUGACGGUACCUGCAGAAAAAGCAACGGCUAACUACGUG
rnacentral:rRNA from 1 species